rnacentral:rRNA from 1 species
AAUCAACGCUGGCGGCGUGCCUCAGACAUGCAAGUCGAACGAGAACCUCCCUUCGGGGAGGGGACAGUGGCGCACGGGUGAGUAACACGUGGGUGACCUGCCCUCAGCUCUGGGAUAAGCCUGGGAAACCGGGUCUAAUACUGGAUAUGACUCCAUGACGCAUGUUGUGGGGUGGAAAGCCUUGUGCGGCUGAGGAUGGGCCCGCGGCCUAUCAGCNGUUGGUGGGUGAUGGCCUACCAAGGCGACGACGGGUAGCCGGCCUGAGAGGGCGACCGGCCACACUGGGACUGAGACACGGCCCAGACUCCUACGGGAGGCAGCAGUGGGGAAUCUUGCGCAAUGGGCGAAAGCCUGACGCAGCGACGCCGCGUGAGGGA